GUGUUGUAUGAAAGGAGAGGAGCUUAGCACUGCCCCUGACAAGGAUGGACAAGGCUCUUGGGCCUGACAACCUGCAUACGGUUAACACGUUGUCACCCACUCCAAGCUGGUCUGUAAAUCAUUUGUAGCU
rnacentral:ncRNA from 1 species